UACGUAGGGUGCAAGCGUUGUCCGGAAUUAUUGGGCGUAAAGAGCUCGUAGGCGGUUCGUCGCGUCGGCUGUGAAAUCCCGAGGCUCAACCUCGGGUCUGCAGUCGAUACGGGCGGACUGGAGUUCGGCAGGGGAGACUGGAAUUCCUGGUGUAGCGGUGGAAUGCGCAGAUAUCAGGAGGAACACCGGUGGCGAAGGCGGGAUCCUGGGCCAGUACUGACGCUGAGGAGCGAAAGCGUGGGGAGCAAACAGG
rnacentral:rRNA from 1 species